rnacentral:misc_RNA from 1 species
GAUGAAGAACGCAGCGAAAUGCGAUAAGUAGUGUGAAUUGCAGAAUUCAGUGAAUCAUCGAAUCUUUGAACGCACAUUGCGCCCUUCGGUAUUCCGUUGGGCAUGCCUGUCCGAGCGUCAUUUAAACCUUCAAGCUCUGCUUGGUGUUGGGUGUUUGUUCCGCCUGCGCGCGCGGACUCGCCUCAAAUUCAUUGGCAGCCGGUAUGUUGGCUUCGUGCACAGCACAUUGUGUCGCGACUCCAGCCUGCCUCCUUCCAUCAAGCCCCCCUAUUACUUUGGCCUCGGAUCAGGUAGGGAUACCCGCUGAACUUAAGCAUAUCAAUAAGCGGAGGA